rnacentral:rRNA from 1 species
UACGUAGGGGGCAAGCGUUGUCCGGAAUCAUUGGGCGUAAAGAGCGUGUAGGCGGUCCGUUAAGUCGGUUGUGAAAGUCCAGGGCUCAACCCUGGGAUGCCGGUGGAUACUGUCGGGCUCGAGUCCGGAAGAGGCGAGUGGAAUUCCUGGUGUAGCGGUGAAAUGCGCAGAUAUCAGGAAGAACACCAAUGGCGAAGGCAGCUCGCUGGGACGAGACUGACGCUGAGACGCGAAAGCGUGGGGAGCAAACAGG